GAGGUCAAUGAUGAUGGUUCUUGUUCGAGUUUAAUGCCAAUGAGACAACUUGCAUGCACUACCAUCUGAGACCUA
ensembl:snoRNA SNORD33 Small nucleolar RNA Z195/SNORD33/SNORD32 family